rnacentral:rRNA from 1 species
CCUACGGGUGGCAGCAGUGGGGAAUAUUGCACAAUGGGGGAAACCCUGAUGCAGCGACGCCGCGUGAGUGAAGAAGUAAUUCGUUAUGGAAAGCUCUAUCAGCAGGGAAGAAAAUGACGGUACCUGAGUAAGAAGCCCCGGCUAACUACGUGCCAGCAGCCGCGGCUAUACGUAGGGGGCAAGCGUUAUCCGGAUUUACUGGGUGUAAGGGGCGCGUAGACGGCAGGGCAAGUCUGGAGUGAAAGGCGGGGGCUCAACCCCCGGACUGCCCUUGAAACUGGACGGCUGGAGUGCAGGAGAGGUAAGUGGAAUGCCUGGUGUAGCGGUGAAAUGCGUAGAUAUUAGGCGGAACACCAGUGGCGAAGGCGGCUUACUGGACUGUAACUGACGUUGAGGCUCGAAAGCGUGGGGAGCAAACAGGAUUAGAUACCCCGGUAGUC